UUUAGCUUGUUUCUAUGACAACAUUGCUAGCUAGUUAUCUAUGUAGGUUUCAACAGAAUACACCAGAUGAUUGUAUGAAACGUAGCUAUGCUGGCUAUCUAACUGUUUGAUUAUUUUUUCUGUUUUGUACGCAGAGAUUCUUAAUGUAGUUAGUUAGCUAUAAAUUGGUUUAAAAGACGAAGGGAUACAUGAGUAACGACGAUGACAGCCCCGUUAUGGGCUCUCUCCCUACCUCUCCCCGCUAUUGUCAUCAUUACGAUUGGCCUCUAUAUGUUGCUCCUUGCGGCCGUACUGUGGUGCCAUUACUGUCUCAAGGCCCAGUGCAAGUCUCAGUGUACAGACUGCUGCCCGAGUGUAUCCCCGUUUGAAUACUGUUACCUGUGUGCGCAGUCAUGUGACUGCCGCCCACCUACCCUUAACUCUUGUCUCGAUUACUGCCCCUCUCCCAGCUGUGUCAGGUGGGACUGUACAUGCACCUGCCAGCCACCUCAGUGUGACUCCCUCAACUGCCUCUGCUUCGAGAUCAACUUCAAAUAGAGCCCAGUGGGACACAGGAGCGCCCCUUUAUACAGCUCCCAUAUGAGAGUCGUGCUUGUGGGAAGGUUUGUUGAUGGGAUUUGUUCGUUUUCAGAAAUGCGAAAUAUUUUUGUGUCAUAUUUACAGUACUUAAAUGUUGCUUUUGGACUAAAUCUGUACGCCUGGUGUGCCUAACACAUUAUUCUGUUCUCUGGUAUAACUGAACAGUGCUUGUAGGCCACCUAGUGUUGAGUUCUCAUACUGCAACAUGGCCUGCGCUUAUUAGAAGAUGAGCUGAUUCAUCAGGAAGGAGGCUUAUCAACGAAGCCAGUUAGAAAGACAUUUUGCCAAAACAAUUUUGCAAUACCAAAAGCAAUACCAUAUGUGCUGAGAAAAUAACAGCCAUGCUUUUCCAUAUGUGCAGGAUGUGCAGGGAAUCACACUACAAAUGCAAAUAUUCAGUUUACCUGCAUUCACACCUUUUGAACUGCAUUUAAAAUGUACAGACAAGUGCAGAAGCAAAUGGUGGUGUUGUGCCUCCGCCUACAUAGACAUCCAUUUUAAUUAUCCCUAAUUUAUACCUGGAAUGGCACCAACAUAUGAGUUUAAUUUUCUGGUUCUGAGACAUUUCUGGCCCUCAGACAUGAAUCAGUGAAUCAGCCCUGUCAAUAUGGCGUGUUCGUGCAUUUCUGCUGUGAUGCAUGGUCAAUGCACCUGCUUUCUAACAUGUAAUUUUGCUAAUUUUUCGAAACAUUUUUAAAAAUUGUAUUUUUAUAUAGACUGUAUAGUCUUUGGAAAGGAAAUAAAUAUUUUUACACGUGUGAAUGCUUUUUAUAUUUUGUGUGUAUUCCAAUGCCAUCCCACAAAUCAAGUGCAUUACUGAUUGUUCAUAAAAAAUAAAAUCUCUUGGUUCAUUGCGAUUAGAUGAAGAACAUAUGUUUUGAAAGGUACAUUCCACUUCAUUGUUGAAUUCAUUAAUAAUUGUAAUUAGCCUACUCCUACAUUGUAAAAAAUAUUAAAGUCACAGUCUCUAGUUAAUAUAUUGCACGUCAUUCUUUCAAGGCUUAAGACUUAUGUUCAGGCGAAUUAAAAUGAAUAUCAAAACUAAAGCAACUUAGAUUGGUUUAAAAUAGAUAAAUAAACAGGAAGAACAAACUUAUAAAUCCCUCGGGAUGAUCAGAAGUCCUUACCUGGCGAAACGCUGGCAUAUAACCACUUUAGUGAACGUAAGUCCAAAAUGCGUGACAGGAUUUUAUGGGAGA